rnacentral:rRNA from 1 species
AUUAGCCAUGCAUGUCUCAGUACAAGCCUCAUUAAGGUGAAACCGCGAAUGGCUCAUUAAAUCAGUUAUGGUUCCUUGGAUCUUACCCACACUUACAUGGAUAACUGUGGUAAUUCUAGAGCUAAUACAUGAACCUCGUGCCCCGACCAGUGAUGGAAGGGGCGCUUUUAUUAGAACAAAACCAAUCGGUCGGCUCGUCCGUCCGUUGCCUUGGUGACUCUGAAUAACUUUGGGCUGAUCGCACGGUCCCAGCACCGGCGACGCAUCUUUCAAAUGUCUGCCUUAUCAACUUUCGAUGGUAGGUUCUGCGCCUACCAUGGUUGUAACGGGUGACGGGGAAUCAGGGUUCGAUUCCGGAGAGGGAGCCUGAGAAACGGCUACCACAUCCAAGGAAGGCAGCAGGCGCGCAAAUUACCCACUCCCGGCACGGGGAGGUAGUGACGAAAAAUAACGAUACGGGACUCAUCCGAGGCCCCGUAAUCGGAAUGAGAACACUUUAAAUCCUUUAACGAGGAUCUAUUGGAGGGCAAGUCUGGUGCCAGCAGCCGCGGUAAUUCCAGCUCCAAUAGCGUAUAUUAAAGUUGUUGCGGUUAAAAAGCUCGUAGUCGGAGGUGUGUCUCGGACGGUCGGUUCGCCGCUUGUCGGUGCUCAACUGGCCGGUCCGGACGUCCUGCCGGUGGGGCUGUAAAAGGCUCCGUUAUCCUUCUUUGGUCCUCUUCAUUGAGUGCCUUGGUGGGCCGGCACGUUUACUUUGAACAAAUUAGAGUGCUCAAAGCAGGCCGUUGGUCGCCUGAAUACUGUGUGCAUGGAAUAAUGGAAUAGGACCUCGGUUCCAUUUUGUUGGUUUUCAGAACUCGAGGUAAUGAUUAAUAGGGACGGACGGGGGCAUUCGUAUUGCGACGUUAGAGGUGAAAUUCUUGGAUCGUCGCAAGACGAACCGAUGCGAAAGCAUUUGCCAAGAACGUUUUCGUUGAUCAAGAACGAAAAGUUAGAGGUU